rnacentral:tRNA from 1 species
GGGGGCAUAGCUCAGUGGUAGAGCCUAUGCUUAGCAUACUUGAGGUCCUGGGUUCAAUCCCCAGUACCUCCA